rnacentral:rRNA from 1 species
UACAGAGGUCCCAAGCGUUGUUCGGAUUCACUGGGCGUAAAGGGUGCGUAGGUGGUGAGGUAAGUCGGAUGUGAAAGCUCGGAGCUCAACUCCGAAAUGGCAUUGGAAACUACCUUGCUCGAGGGUUGGAGGGGGGACUGGAAUACUUGGUGUAGCAGUGAAAUGCGUAGAUAUCAAGUGGAACACCAGUGGCGAAGGCGAGUCCCUGGACAACUCCUGACACUGGGAAGCGAAAGCAUGGGGAGCGAACAGG